AGCGAACGCUGGCGGCAGGCCUAACACAUGCAAGUCGAACGAACCUUUCGGGGUUAGUGGCGGACGGGUGAGUAACACGUGGGAACGUGCCCUUAGGUUCGGAAUAACUCAGGGAAACUUGUGCUAAUACCGAAUGUGCCCUUCGGGGGAAAGAUUUAUCGCCUUUAGAGCGGCCCGCGUCUGAUUAGCUAGUUGGUUGAGGUAAUGGCUCACCAAGGCGACGAUCAGUAGCUGGUCUGAGAGGAUGAUCAGCCACAUUGGGGCUGUGACACGGCCCAAACUCCUACGGAAGGCAGCAGUGGGGAAUCUUGCGAAAUGGGGGAAGGCCUGACGCAGCCAUGCCGGGUGAAUGAUGAAGGUCUUAGGAUUGUAAAAUUCUUUCACCGGGGCCGAUAAUGACGGUACCCGGAGAAGAAGCCCCGGCUAACUACGUG
rnacentral:rRNA from 1 species